UGGAAGUGACGCGGCGAGGGGCGGGGCCGAAUUGUAGCCUCCGUCACCGCCUCCGGGGCCGGGAAGCGAUGUAGGUAGGACCCGCCAGACGGUCCCCAGUUCUCCUCCGCCCGCCUGCCGCGCCGCCACCGCCGCCGCCGCCAUGAAGAAGCAAUUCAACCGCAUGAAGCAGCUGGCCAAUCAGACUGUCGGCAGAGCUGAGAAGACCGAAGUCCUCAGUGAAGAUCUGCUACAGAUUGAACGUCGCCUGGACACUGUGCGUUCAAUGUGCCACCAUUCACAUAAGCGUUUGAUAGCCUGCUUCCAAGGUCAGCAUGGCACUGAUGCCGAGAGGAGACAUAAAAAGCUUCCUCUGACAGCUCUUGCCCAGAACAUGCAGGAGGCUUCAGCCCAGCUGGAAGAGUCUCUCUUGGGGAAGAUGCUGGAGACCUGUGGGGACGCUGAGAACCAGCUGGCUCUUGAACUCUCACAACAUGAAGUCUUUGUGGAGAAGGAGAUCAUGGACCCUCUCUACGGCAUAGCAGAGGUGGAGAUUCCCAAUAUCCAGAAGCAAAGGAAGCAGCUUGCUAGAUUGGUGUUGGACUGGGAUUCAGUCAGAGCGAGAUGGAACCAAGCACACAAGUCUUCAGGAACCAACUUUCAGGGGCUUCCAUCCAAAAUAGAUACCCUAAAGGAAGAGAUGGAUGAAGCUGGGAAUAAAGUUGAACAGUGCAAGGAUCAACUUGCAGCAGACAUGUACAACUUCAUGGCCAAAGAAGGGGAGUAUGGCAAGUUCUUCGUGACGUUAUUAGAAGCCCAAGCAGAUUACCAUAGAAAAGCAUUAGCAGUCUUAGAAAAGGCCCUUCCCGAAAUGCGCGCCCAUCAAGAUAAGUGGGCAGAGAAGCCAGCCUUCGGCACACCUCUGGAGGAACACCUGAAGAGGAGUGGGCGUGAGAUCGCCCUGCCUAUUGAGGCCUGUGUCAUGUUGUUGCUGGAGACUGGCAUGAAAGAGGAGGGCCUUUUUCGGAUUGGAGCUGGAGCCUCCAAGUUGAAGAAGCUGAAAGCUGCUCUCGACUGCUCCACAUCGCAUCUGGAUGAAUUCUAUUCUGAUCCCCAUGCUGUCGCAGGUGCUUUAAAGUCCUAUCUGCGGGAGUUGCCUGAGCCCUUAAUGACUUUCAGUCUGUAUGAAGAAUGGACACAAGUUGCAAGUGUGCAGGAUCAAGACAAAAAACUUCAAUAUUUAUGGACAACAUGUCAGAAGUUGCCGCCACAAAAUUUUGUUAACUUUAGGUAUUUAAUCAAGUUCCUUGCAAAGCUUGCCCAGACCAGUGACGUUAAUAAAAUGACUCCUAGCAACAUAGCCAUUGUCCUGGGCCCUAACCUCCUGUGGGCCAAACAAGAAGGAACGCUGGCUGAAAUAGCGGCUGCCACAUCGGUCCACGUGGUUGCAGUGAUUGAGCCCAUCAUCCAGCAUGCAGAUUGGUUCUUCCCUGGAGAGGUAGAAUUCAAUGUAUCAGAAGCAUUUGUGCCACUUGCUACCCCGAAUUCUAAUCACUCAUCCCAUACUGGAAAUGACUCUGACUCGGGGACUCUGGAGAGGAAGCGACCUGCCAGCAUGGCAGUGAUGGAAGGGGACUUGGUGAAGAAGGAGAGCUUUGGUGUGAAGCUAAUGGACUUCCAGGCCCACCGGCGGGGUGGCACUCUAAAUAGAAAGCACAUAGCCCCCGCUUUCCAGCCGCCACUCCCGCCCACGGAUGGCAACGCCUUGGCUCCAGCAGGCCCAGAGCCCCCUUCUCAGAGCUCUAGGGCUGACAGCAGCUCAGGGGGUGGGCCUGUCUUCUCUUCUACGGGCAUAUUGGAGCAGGGGCUGAGCCCAGGUGACAGCAGUCCUCCAAAACCCAAAGACUCCGUGUCUGCAGCUGUCCCUGCAGCAGGAAGGAACAGCAACCAGAUGACCACGGUCCCAAACCAGGCUCAGACAGGUGGCAACUCCCAUCAGCUCUCAGUAAGCACACCUCACAGUGCAGCCGGUCCCAGCCCGCACACUCUGCGUCGGGCUGUGAAGAAACCUGCCCCCGCACCCCCCAAACCAGGAAACCUACCUCCUGGCCACCCUGGAGGACAGAGCUCUCCUGGCACAGGCACAUCCCCAAAGCCAAGCGCCCGAAGCCCAUCACCGCCUCAGCAGCAGCAGCAGCAGCAACAACAGCAGCAACAACAGCAGCAGCAGCAGACCCCAGGCAUGCGCCGCUGCUCCAGCAGCCUGCCUCCCAUCCAGGCACCCAGCCACCCACCACCACAGCCCCCCACACAGCCUCGGUUGGGUGAACAGGGACCAGAGCCAGGCCCCACGCCACCUCAAACCCCCACACCACCUAGCACCCCACCCCUGGCCAAGCAGAAUCCAUCGCAAAGUGAGACCACACAGCUGCACGGAACCCUCCCAAGACCACGGCCAGUGCCCAAGCCCCGCAACCGGCCUAGCGUGCCACCACCCCCACAUCCACCUGGCACCCACACGGUGGAUGGUGGCCUUACAUCCUCAGUGCCCACAGCCUCCAGAAUCGUCACUGAUGCCCUUCCCGGUGCCCUCACAGGUGGGGAAGGUUUCCAGAACUAAGAUGUAUGACCUGCCAUAUUCAGUAAGAACUGAAAUUGGAAUGAUUAAUGACACCAAUUCUAGGGUUUCUGAAUCACUUCGCAGCAUCUUUCCUGAAAUACAUUCAGACUUGGCAAGCAAAGAAGUGCCUGGCCACAUCCUGCUGGACAUAGACAAUGACACAGAAAGUACUGCAUUGUGAAGAAAGCCACUUGUCAGCCUUUGGCCCUCCAUCCCAGUGAACGGAACUGGGUCAGGCAAGCCUCUGUCUCUGCAGACCAAACAGUGAGAAGCUUUUAGUGGGGGAAGGAAGGUCUGACUACGAAGGACUAGACUCCCACGGCCCAAGGAGAAGGUGAGGGCCAGUCCUCAAAGCUGAAUGACCUGUGUCGUAAAGAAGUUGGCUUGCUUUAUCUAGGAUGAAAAUCAUGCCAAAAAUGAUCAGGACAAAGAAAUACCGACAGCAGGAGUAUUACUGCUGAGAGGUGUAUGGGAAGCUGUUGCCAGAGCUGUCAGCUCAGACAGCUCUGAUUGUGACUAAGAAGAGACUUACCUAUCUAUUUAAUAAAACAUUAAUUAUGCAAGUUGCCUACUUCCUGCUACUUGGACUUUGGUUCUCACAUACCAGAAGGAGCUUCCAUUCCUUCAGACUUGCUGCAGAAUCAUUUUGUAUUAAAUAGUCUGUCUCCUCCAACCCCCAGAACCUCGAGCAUUGGCGACUGCUGGCUCUGUCGCCUCAGCAGAAUGGAUGCAAGUCGUGCCUUGUGGAUUGCCAGAAUAUGGAGAGAAAUAUACCGUUCUUUUUAAAAAAAAAAACAAAACAAAACAAAACUAUAAUUGCUACUUGAUAAAGAGCGAAUGUUAUUCUAGUUUCAUGUUUAAUUUGAAUUAAAUAUAUUCUGUGGUUUAUAUGAAAACUUGCUAAUUCUUAGAGGCAAAUUCUGGGAUAUAUACAUUUGUGUUUGUGCAUAUAUGUGCAUGUGUGAGCUUGCCUGUGUGUUUGUCUAUAGGAAUUUGAAACAAUAAAGAGAUGCUAGCA